rnacentral:rRNA from 1 species
UUGAACGCUGGCGGCAGGCCUAACACAUGCAAGUCGAGCGGAAACGAGAGGAGCUUGCUCCUUGGCGUCGAGCGGCGGACGGGUGAGUAAAGCCUAGGAAAUUGCCCUGGAGUGGGGGAUAACCAUUGGAAACGAUGGCUAAUACCGCAUAUUACCUGAGGGUUAAAGAGGGGGACCUUUUGGCCUCUUGCUUUGGGAUAUGCCUAGGUGGGAUUAGCUAGUUGGUGAGGUAAUGGCUCACCAAGGCGACGAUCUCUAGCUGGUCUGAGAGGAUGACCAGCCACACUGGAACUGAGACACGGUCCAGACUCCUACGGGAGGCAGCAGUGGGGAAUAUUGCACAAUGGGGGGAACCCUGAUGCAGCCAUGCCGCGUGUGUGAAGAAGGCCUUCGGGUUGUAAAGCACUUUCAGUGGUGAGGAAGGGUGUAUAUUUAAUAGAUGUAUGCUUUGACGUUAGCCACAGAAGAAGCACCGGCUAACUCCGUGCCAGCAGCCGCGGUAAUACGGAGGGUGCGAGCGUUAAUCGGAAUUACUGGGCGUAAAGCGCAUGCAGGUGGAUGAUUAAGUCAGAUGUGAAAGCCCGGGGCUUAACCUCGGAAUAGCAUUUGAAACUGAUUAUCUAGAGUACUGUAGAGGGGGGUAGAAUUUCAGGUGUAGCGGUGAAAUGCGUAGAGAUCUGAAGGAAUACCGGUGGCGAAGGCGGCCCCCUGGACAGAUACUGACACUCAGAUGCGAAAGCGUGGGUAGCAAACAGGAUUAGAUACCCUGGUAGUCCACGCUGUAAACGAUGUCUACUUGGAGGUUGUUCCCUUGAGGAGUGGCUUUCGUAGCUAACGCGUUAAGUAGACCGCCUGGGGAGUACGGUCGCAAGAUUAAAACUCAAAUGAAUUGACGGGGGCCCGCACAAGCGGUGGAGCAUGUGGUUUAAUUCGAUGCAACGCGAAGAACCUUACCUACUCUUGACAUCCAUAGAAUCCUGUAGAGAUACGGGAGUGCCUUCGGGAAUUAUGAGACAGGUGCUGCAUGGCUGUCGUCAGCUCGUGUUGUGAAAUGUUGGGUUAAGUCCCGCAACGAGCGCAACCCUUAUCCUUGAUUGCCAGCGAGUUAUGUCGGGAACUUCAGGGAGACUGCCGGUGAUAAACCGGGGGAAGGUGGGGACGACGUCAAGUCAUCAUGGCCCUUACGAGUAGGGCUACACACGUGCUACAAUGGCGUAUACAGAGGGAGGCGAGCUAGCGAUAGUAAGCGGAACCCAAAAAGUGCGUCGUAGUCCGGAUCGGAGUCUGCAACUCGACUCCGUGAAGUCGGAAUCGCUAGUAAUCGUGGAUCAGAAUGCCACGGUGAAUACGUUCCCGGGCCUUGUACACACCGCCCGUCACACCAUGGGAGUGGGCUGCAAAAGAAGUGGGUAGUUUAACCUUUCGGGGAUGACGCUCACCACUUUGUGGUUCAUGACUGGGGUGA